rnacentral:rRNA from 1 species
UACGAAGGGUGCAAGCGUUACUCGGAAUUACUGGGCGUAAAGGGUGCGUAGGCGGUCAUUUAAGUCUGACGUGAAAUCUCCGGGCCUAACCCGGAAACUGCGUUGGAAACUAUCUGACUAGAGGAAUGGAGGGGAGACUGGAAUACUUGGUGUAGCAGUGAAAUGCGUAGAUAUCAAGUGGAACACCAGUGGCGAAGGCGAGUCUCUGGACAUUUCCUGACGCUGAGGCACGAAAGCCAGGGGAGCAAACGGG